CAUUUCCUGGCAUGGCACCUGGCAUGUCCAGGUUUCACAGGCAUAUGACAAAGAGGUCAGCAUGAUGGCUCUGUAGACCUACAGUUUGGUAGGCAGCCUAAUACCUUUUCUUUCCCACACUUUCCUUUAGAGCUUCUCAAACACUGAGCUAGCCUUGGCAGUGCCUGCAUCAACCUCAUCAUCUGUAUGAACAUCCCUGGAAAUUAUACUGCCAAAGUAAAUGAAAGACAGUGCUGGUGAUGAGAAGAUAACAUGAUGCAGAAGUCUUCAGUAGUAAGUGACCAUUGCUGUUGCUGUUUCAGACUCCAUUCCUUCUAAGGACUCCCUGCCAUGUCUGGAGGUGAGUGGUAUGGUCCUUAAAAAAGACUGUUCAGACACACAGGAAGCUACCAAAUCCCACUGCUCCUUCAGUCCAGUGAGAAGAUGAUCCUAUGGCCUGGGCCACCUGUGUGCAAGAUUGUGACUACAGCUCCCAAUGUAUCUCCACCUGCUGCUUCAUCACUUGCCUGUCACCACAGGACUUUGAGAGUCAUCAAAGCCCAGAGGCAAGACAAAGUCAAGAUGACUGGUGAUAGCCGAUGAUCUUGGUAUCUUUGAUGUCUGACCAAGCUCUCCAUGUUACACAGUGCCUACUUCAGCUGCCUUCAUGCCAUUGGAACAAAUUGUUCUCAUCUGUCCAUUCCACCUGGGGAAGUCUUCAUAUGCUUGGAUUAGACACCCUCCUAAUUCACUGAAAGGUUUGAGACACCUUGGUUACCCUCAACCUGGUUUAGCCCACUGCUGAAACAGUUUAUUGUGGUGUGGCCUCUGUGCAUACUAAAGCUUUUUAGAAAAGAAA
rnacentral:lncRNA from 1 species